CAGGGUCUAGAACUUGAACAAGUCCGUUGGUGCCAUUGCGAAGAGCAUUUUCAAUCAGUUGACUUAGGCUGGUUGACAGUCCAUUCUCCUCUGCACGUGUUAAUGUAGUCAGAACCAUCAAAAGUAGAAAGAGCAACUUAGAAACUAUUCAAAUUUAUGGGAAAAAAAAAUUAGAAGAGAAAGAAGAAGAAAUUUUGCAGUGGAUUACCUGGUGCCAAGUAGCCUAUGGUGCCUUGAAAAGUCGACGAUGAUGAUGACGGAAGGCUAUUUCCAUCCUGGAGAUGAACACCCAAUAUGCGAGCUGUUCCAAAGUCGCUAACAUGAGCAUCCCAGUUACUGUCUAACAGAACAUUAGAGGGUUUCAAGUCACAGUGUACAAUGGGUAUGCCAUAACCAGAAUGUAGGUAAUCUAGGCCGCUUGCAAUUGAUAUACAAACAUCGAUCCUCUCCAUUAAUGUCCACCUUGAUCGAUCAAUUUGAGGAUCAUGAAUGAUGCUGUCCAAGCUCCCAUUUUCCAUGUAUUCCAGAACUAAAGCCUUUAGUUUUGAACUUUCCCAGGCAUAGCCAAGUACCUUCACCAGAUUCUUGUGUCUCAGCUGGCUCAGUGUUUUGGCUUCUCUGUAGAAGGACUUGUCAGAUUCUGCAGGGAAUUGCUGCAAAUUCAGUUUCUUUACAACUACAAUCUGUCCCUCUUCUAAUCGACCCUUGUAUACUGUGCUUAAACUGCUAGCACCUAUUAUGUUAUCUGCACUGAAGAAACUAGUUGCAUUUUCUAAUUCCACUGGCUCAAACCUUCUGAGUUUCAAUGCCGAACUGAAAUCUGGUUCUCUGUUUUUAGUAUGUUCUGCUUUAGUCCUUUUGGCACGUUGGAGGAGCAUCGAUAUCGCUACCAACAGAAUGAGAAGUGCAAAAACCACUGCAAGAGAUACCAGAAUCCACACAGUCUUCUUUGAUAUGGAAUUUGAAUUCUUCUUGCUACAUGACCUUAGUGAUUUGCUUCCACAGAGACCAAGAUUUCCAGUGAAAGCUGAAGCGUUUAUAUUUUUGAAUAUUCCAGCCUCAGGAAUUCGACCUUCAAGAAAAUUGAAAGUCAUAUUAAGAUGUUUCAAGGUGGAAAGAUUGGCAAAGCUCUCAGGGAUCUUUCCCUUCAGCUGGUUAUGCGAGAGGUCUAAGGUGAUUAAAUUCUUCAAUUGUGCCAAGGUUUCAGGGAUCUGACCAUCUAAAUGAUUCUUGGAAAAGUUCAAGAAGGAAAGUAUGCUCAUGGGAUCAAAAGCUUUAACUGGAAUUACACCAGAGAGGUUAUUCCCGGAUAAGUCGAGUGAGAUCAAAUUUUUGCAGCCUCCAAGUGUUUCAGGAAUGAUUCCUGAAAGAUUGUUGUUUGAGAUAUCAAUGGCUUGCACUGCUUCCAACUUGCCUAGCUCAGCUGGAACGUUUCCUCCCAAUAGAUUGUACGACAGGUUGAAAUAAAACUGCAAAUUUCUCAUGCUUGCUACCACAGAUCCAGGAAUCGACCCUGUGAGAUGGUUGUGUGAGAGAUCUAGAGAGGUUAGACGGUCAAGACGCACCAUACUUGUAGGUAUGGAACCGUUAAGCAUAUUGUUGUGCAUAUCUAAGUCGGUAAGCAUUUCAAGCUUUGAGAUACCUGCUGGAAUUUGACCAGUAAGCCUGUUUGUCCCGAGAUAGAGAAUAGUUAAAUGUUUCAGUUCAAAAAUAUUCUCUGGUAUUGCACCUUCUAGAGCAUUGCCAUGUAUAGCAAGCCCUUGGAGGAGAGAAAGCUUGGAUAAAGUUGGUGGAAUGAUUCCUGAAAGCUUAUUUCUGGCUAGUGCUAAAGUGAUCAGUUUACUUAAGUUUCCAAUCUCUAGUGGAAUUGGCCCUACAAAUGAAUUAGAACUAGCUCUCAACAAUUGUAGAUUGUAAAGCCUGCUGAUGCCUGGUUUCAGCAGUCCACUGAAAUUGUUCUCUAUUAAAGAUAAAAUUUGAAGGUUGGAGCAAUUAUAAAGAUCAUCAGGUAUCUCACCAGAUAUUUGAUUCUGUUCAAUAAUUAAAUUUGUUAAAUUGUGCAACUGUCCUAAACCCCGUGGAAGUUUCCCUGUGAGUCUAUUUAAAGCUAAGUCUAUGUUUAGAAGAUGGGUACAGUUGGUGAUGCUAGAAGGAAUGGAUCCCUCGAGAAGGUUAUUGCCCAGGUUAAGGCUCUGUAAAUUGUAAAGCAUUCCGAUGUUUGAUGGAAUCUUCCCUGUGAGGAGAUUGAUGCUCAUAGACAAGUAUGUCAUAUUCGACAGAUUUGUUAUAGAUGAAGGAAUUUCCCCAGUAAAUUUGUUUGAAUGCAGGGUCAACACACGCAUUGACUUCAACGAUCCUAUCUCAGUGGGUACUAUUCCAGUUAGCUGAUUCUCCGAGAGACCUAAAUUGGUUAAUGAUGUUAACUGGAAUAUGGAGAGAGGAAUGGUUCCGUUUAAGUGAUUACCGUACAGAUGCAAAGUUUCUAAGCGGAUUAAGUUUCCAAGCUCAGAGGGAAUGGCCCCUGUCAACCGAUUUCCAUAUAGUGCAAGAUUGACAAGACUCUUGCAGCUACCUAGUUCGGAAGGGAUUAGCCCGACUAGGGAAUUGCUAAACAACUCGAUUACUUCCAAGGUGGACAAGUUCCCUAUCUCUCUAGGUAUUACUCCUGACAAGCGGUUUUCAGUAAUACGCAAACUUCGCAGAGCUCGCAACUCUCCAACAGAAACAGGUAUGUCACCGGUCAGAUUGUUAAUAUCGAAUCCAAAAUACUGCAAAGAGGUGCAGUUACAAAUACUUUCAGGAAUACUUCCAUUAAACGUAUUGGUACUCAAGUCUAAAUACUGCAGAUUUUGAAGGUUUCCUAAUUCUGAUGGAAUUGGACCUGAAAGAGAAUUUUGAAACAGAGAAAUACCAGUUAGCUGGGAGCAUUGUCCCAGCUGAGGUGGAAUUUUCCCAGUGAAUAAAUUUGAAGUUAAAUCAAGAACCUGGAGAGCAGAGAGAUUCCCGAGAGAUGGCGAUAUCUGGCCUUGUAGCUGCUUCUCCGUCACUAUUAAUGAAAUCAAAAGAUUUGACGAAGGAUCACAGACAACACCAGACCAGUUGCAGUGAUGACUUGCUUCAGUCCAAUUAGCAAGUGCUCCAAAAGGGUCAUCUGUAAUAAAGUUCUUGAAGGCCUUCAACGCCGCAACUUCAGCUUCUAUGGUUGAUUCUGCAGUUAUAAAAAAAGAUUGAAACAAUCUCAGGAUCAAACUGAACCUAAAUGGGAAAAGGAAUGGAAAUAUGGGAAAGUUUUGGUUUUUGGUUAGAGGAAUGAUUGAUACUGUGAACCUUGGCUAAGUACCAAAAUUUGAAUAUGUGAACCCAUUGUACUAUGACGGCCACUGUCUACUACUUGUAGAGCCUAAAAGCUUCUCAAGACAAGUCAGCACCUCAUUCAUGUUGGGUCGAUCGUCGGGAUUUGGAUUGGUGCAGAAUAAGGCCAGCUUGAAGAGCUCAAUCAACGUUUCUUCCUCUUUAAUCACAUUCCUUGCGAUCACAGGGUCUAAAACUUGAACAAGUCCAUCGGUGCCAUUGCGAAAUACCUUUUCAAUCAGUUGACUUAGGCUGGUCGGAAGUCCAUUCUCCUCUGCACAUGUUAAUGAAGUCAGAACCAUCAACAGGAGAAAUAGCAACUUAGAAAUUACUCAAAUUUAUGGAAAAAAAAUACUAAAAUUGCGAGAGAAAAAAGAGGAAAUUUUAACAGUGGGUUACCUGGUGCCAAGUAGCCUAUGGUGCCUUGAAAAGCUGAUGAUGACGAUGACAAAAGGCUACUUCCGUCCUGGAGAUGAACACCCAAUAUGCGAGCUGUUCCAAAGUCGCUAAUAUGAGCAACCCAGUUACUGUCCAACAGAACAUUAGAGGGUUUCAAGUCACAGUGUACAAUGGGUAUGCCAUAACCAGAAUGUAAGUAAUCUAAACCACUCGCAAUUGAGAUACAGACAUCGAUCCUCUCCAUUAAUGUCCACCUUGAUCGAUCAAUUUGAGGAUCAUGAAUGAUACUGUCCAAGCUCCCAUUUUCCAUGUAUUCCAGAACUAAAGCCUUUAGUUUAGCACUUUCCCAGGCAUAGCCAAGUACCUUUACCAGAUUCUUGUGUCUCAGCUGGCUCAAUGUUUUGGCUUCUCUGUAGAAGGACUUGUCAGAUUCUGCAGGGAAUUGCUGCAAAUUCAGUUUCUUUACAACUACAAUCUGUCCCUCUUCUAAUCGACCCUUGUAUACAGUGCUUAAACUGCUAGCACCUAUUAUGUUAUCUGCACUGAAGAAACUAGUUGCAUUUUCUAAUUCCACUGGCUCAAACCUUCUGAGUUUCAAUGCCAAACUGAAAUCUGGUUCUCUGUUUUUAGUAUGUUCUGCUUUAGUCCUUUUGGCACGUUGGAGGAGAAUCGAUAUCACUACCAACAGAAUGAGAAGUGCAAAAACCGCUGCAAGAGAUACCAGAAUCUGCACAGUCUUCUUUGAUAAGCCUCAGGAAUCAGACCUUCAAGAAAAUUAAAAGUCACAUUAAGAUGUUUCAAGGUGGAAAGGUUGGCAAAGCUCUCAGGGAUUUUUCCCUUCAGCUGGUUAUGAGAGAGGUCUAAGGUGAUUAAAUUCUUCAAUUGUGCCAAGGUUUCAGGGAUCUGACCAUCUAAAUGAUUCUUGGAAAGGUUCAAGAAGGUAAGUAUGCUCAUGGGAUCAAAAGCUUUAACUGGAAUUACACCAGAGAGGUUAUUCCCCGAUAAAUCGAGUGAGAACAAAUUUUUGCAGCCUCCAAGUGUUUCAGGAAUAAUUCCUGAAAGAUUGUUGUUUGAGAUAUCAAUGGCUUGCACUGCUUCCAACAUGCCUAGUUCAGCUGGAAUGUUUCCUCCCAAUAAAUUGUACGACAAGUUGAAAAAAAUCUGCAUAUUUCUCAUGCUUGAUACAACAGAUCCAGGAAUCGUUCCUGUGAGUUGGUUGUGUGAGAGAUCUAGAGACCUCAUCCGGAUAAGACGCCCCAUGCUUGUAGGUAUGGAACCGUUAAGCAUAUUGCCGUGGACAUCCAAGUCCGAAAGCAUUUUAAGUUUUGAGAUGCCUGCUGGAAUUUGACCGGUAAGCCUGUUUUGCCUGAGAAGGAGAACAGUUAAAUGUUUCAGUUUGAAAAUAUUCUCUGGUAUUGCACCUUCUAGAGCAUUGUUAUGCAAGGCAAGCCCUUGGAGGAGAGAUAGCUUGGAUAAUGUUGGUGGAAUGAUUCCUGAAAACCUAUUUCCGGCUAACGAUAAAAUGAUCAAUUGACUUAAGUUGCCAAUCUCUAGUGGAAUUGGCCCUACAAAUGAAUUAAAAUCAACUCUCAACAAUUGUAGAUUGUAAAGCUUGCCGAUGCCUGGUUUCAGCAAUCCACUGAAACUGUUAUUUGUCAAAGUUAAAGUUCGAAGGUUGGAGCAAUUAUAAAGAUCAUCAGGUAUCUCACCAGAUAUUUGAUUCGCUUCAACAAUUAAAAUUGUUAAAUUGUGCAACUGCCCCAAACCCCAUGGAAGUUUCCCUGUGAGUCUAUUUAAAACGAAGUCUAUGCUUAGAAGAUGGGUACAGUUGGUGAUGCUAGAAGGAAUGGGUCCCACAAGAAGGUUAUUACUCAUGCUAAGGUUCUUUAAAUUGUAAAGCCUUCCUAUGUCUGAUGGAAUUUCCCCUCUGAGGAUAUUGUAGCUCAUAGACAAGUAUGUCAAAUUCGACAGAGUUGUUAUCGAUGAAGGAAUCUCCCCAGUAAACUUGUUUGAAUGCAAGGUCAAUACCUGCAUUGACUUCAACGACCCUAUCUCAGUGGCUACUAUUCCGGUUAACUGAUUCUCUGACAGACCUAAAUGGGUUAAUGAUGUCAACCGGAAAAUGGAGAGAGGAAUGGUUCCAUUUAAGCGAUUACCAUACAAACGCAAAGUUUGUAAGUGGAUUAAGUUUCCAAGCUCAGAGGGAAGGGCUCCUGUCAACUGAUUUUCGUAUAGCUCAAGAUUGAUAAGACUCUUGCAGCUACCUAGUUCGGAAGGGAUUUCCCCGACAAGGAAAUUGCUAAACAACUCUAUAACUUCCAAGUUGGACAAGUUCCCCAUCUCUUUAGGUAUUACUCCUGACAAACGGUUUUUCGAAACAUACAAACGUAUCAGGGCUUGCAACUCUCCAAUAGAAACAGGUAUGCCACCAGUCAGGUUGUUAGUAUCAACACCGAAAGACUGUAAAGAGGUGCAGUUACAAAUACUUUCAGGAAUGCUUCCAUUUAAGGUAUUACUACCAAAAUCUAAAUACUGCAGAUUUUGAAGGUUUCCUAAUUCUGACGGAAUCAGACCUGAAAGAGAAUUUUGAUAAAGAGAAAUACUAACCAGCUGGGAACAAUGUCCUAGCUGAGGUGGAAUUUUCCCAGUGAAUAAAUUUGAAGUUAAAUCAAGAACCUGAAGAGCAGAGAGAUUUCCGAGAAAUGGAGAUAUCUGACCUCGUAGCUGCUUCUCCGCCACUGUUAUUGAAGUGACCUGAUUCGAUGAAGGAUCACAGACAACACCAGACCAGUUGCAGUGAUAACUUGCUUCAGUCCAAUUAGCAAGUGCUCCGAAAGGGUCAUCUGUAAUGAAGUUCUUGAAGGCAUUCAACGCGGCAACCUCAGCUUCGAUGGUUGAUUCUGCAGAUAUAACAAAAGAUUGGAACAAUCUCAGGAUCAAACUGACCCAACAAAUGGGAAAAGGAAUGGAAAUAUGGGAAAGUUUUGGUUUUUGGUUUGAGGAAUGUAUGAUACUGUGAACCUUGGUUAAGUGCCAAAAUUUGACUAUGUGAUCUCAUUGUACUAUGACAGCCACUAUCUACUACUUGCAGAGCCUAAAAGCUUCUCAAGACAAGUCAGCACCUCAUUCAUGUUGGGUCGAUCGUCGGGAUUUGGACUGGUGCAGAAUAAGGCUAGCUUGAAGAGCUCAAUCAAUGUUUCUUCCUCUUUAAUCACAUUCUUUGCGAUCACAGGGUCUAAAACUUGAACAAGUCCAUCGGUGCCAUUGCGAAGUGCCUUUUCAAUCAGUUGACUUAAGCUGGUCGGAAGUCCAUUCUCCUCUGCGCAUGUUAAUGAAGUCAGAACCAUAAAAAGGAGAAAUAGCAACUUUGAAAUUACUCAAAUUUAUGGAAAAAAAAAACAAAAAUUAUGAGAGAAGGAAGAAGUUUUCACAGUGGGUUACCUGGUGCCAAGUAGCCUAUGGUGCCUUGAAAAGCUGACGACGACGAUGAUGAAAGGCUACUUCCAUCCUGAAGAUGAACACCCAAUAUGCGAGCUGUUCCAAAGUCGCUAACAUGAGCAACCCAGUUACUGUCCAACAGAACAUUGGAGGGUUUCAAGUCACAGUGUACAAUGGGUAUGCCAUAACCAGAAUGUAAGUAAUCUAAACCACUCGCAAUUGAGAUACAGACAUUGAUCCUCUCCAUUAAUGUCCAUCUUGAUCGAUCAAUUUGAGGAUCAUGAAUGAUACUGUCCAAGUUCCCAUUUUCCAUGUAUUCCAGAACUAAAGCCUUUAGUUUAGCACUUUCCCAAGCAUAGCCAAGUACCUUCACCAGAUUCUUGUGUCUCAGCUGGCUCAGUGUUUUGGCUUCUCUAUAGAAGGACUUGUCAGAUUCUGCAGGGAAUUGCUGCAAAUUCAGUUUCUUUACAACUACAAUGUGUCCCUCUUCUAAUCGAGCCUUGUAUACUGUGCUUAAACUGCUAGCACCUAUUAUGUUAUCUGCACUGAAGAAGCUAGUUGCAUUUUCUAAUUCCACUGGCUCGAACCUUCUGAGUUUCAAUGCCAAACUGAAAUCUGGUUCCUCGUUUUCAGUUUGUUCUGCUUUGGUCUUUUUGGCACGUUGGAGGAGCAUUGAUAUCACUAUUAACAGAAUGAGAAGUGCAAAAACUGCUGCAAGGGAUACCAGAAUCCAUAUCGUCUUCUUUGAUAAGGAAUUUGAAUUCUUCUUGCUACAUGACCUAAGUGAUUUGCUUCCACAAAGACCAGGAUUUCCAGUGAAAGCUGAAGCAUUUAUAUUUUUGAAUAUUCCAGCCUCAGGAAUUUGACCUUCAAGAAAAUUGAAAGUCACAUUAAGAUGUUUCAAGGUGGAAAGAUUGGCAAAGCUCUCAGGGAUUUCUCCCUUCAGCUGGUUAUGCGAGAGGUCUAAGGUGGUUAAAUUCUUCAAUUGUGCCAAGGUUUCAGGGAUCUGACCAUCUAAAUGAUUCUUGGAAAGGUUCAAAAAGGUAAGUAUGCUCAGGGGACUAAAAGCUUUAACUGGAAUUACACCAGAGAGGUUAUUUGCCGAUAAAUCGAGUGAGAACAAAUUUUUGCAGUCUCCAAGUGUUUCAGGAAGGAUUCCUGAAAGAUUGUUGUUUGAGAUAUCAAUGGCUUGCACUGCUUCCAACUUGCCUAGCUCAGCUGGAACGUUUCCUCCCAAUAAAUUGUACGACAAGUUGAAAUAAAACUGCAAAUUUCUCAUGCUUGCUACCACAGAUCCAGGAAUCGACCCUGUGAGAUGGUUGUGUGAGAGAUCUAGAGAGGUUAGGCGGACAAGACUCACCAUACUUGUAGGUAUGGAACCGUUAAUCAUAUUGUUGUGCAUAUCUAAGUCGGUAAGCAUUUCAAGCUUUGAGAUGCCUGCUGGUAUUUGACCAGUAAGCCUGUUUGUCCCGAGAUAGAGAAUAGUUAAAUGUUUCAGUUCAAAAAUAUUCUCUGGUAUUGCACCUUCUAGAGCAUUGCCAUGUAAAGCAAGCCCUUGGAGGAGAGAGAGCUUGGAUAAUGUUGGUGGAAUGAUUCCUGAAAACCUAUUUCUGGCUAAUGAUAAAGCGAUCAAUUGACUUAAGUUGCCAAUCUCUAGUGGAAUUGGCCCUACAAAUGAAUUAAUAUCAACUCUAAACAAUUGUAGAUUGUAAAGCUUGCCGAUGCCUGGUUUCAGCAAUCCACUGAAAUUGUUAUUAAUCAAAGUUAAAAUUCGAAGGUUGGAGCAAUUAUAAAGAUCAUCAGGUAUCUCACCAAAUAUUUGAUUCCCUUCAACAAGUAAAUUUGUUAAAUUGUGCAACUGUCCCAGACCCCAUGGAAGUUUCCCUGUGAGACUAUUUAAAGCUAAGUCUAUAUAUAGAAGAUGGGUACAGUUGGUGAUGCUAGAAGGAAUGGGUCCCUCAAGAAGGUUACUACCCAGGCUAAGGUUCUUUAAAUUGUAAAGCAUUCCUAUGUCUGAUGGAAUUUUCCCUGUGAGGAAAUUGACGCUCAUAGACAAGUAUGUCAAAUUCGACAGAGUUGUUAUCGAUGAAGGAAUCUCCCCAGUAAGCUUGUUUGAAUGCAGGGUCAGUACCUGCAUUGACUUCAACGAUCCUAUCUCAAUGGGUACUAUUCCGGUUAACUGAUUCUCUGACAGACCUAAAUGGGUUAAUGAUGUCAACCGGAAAAUGGAGAGAGGAAUGGUUCCCUUUAAGCGAUUGCCAUACAAACGCAAAGAUUGUAAGUGGAUUAAGUUUCCUAGCUCAGAGGGAAUGGCUCCUGUCAACUGAUUUUCGUAUAGCUCAAGAUUGAUAAGACUCUUGCAGCUACCUAGUUCGGAAGGGAUUUCCCCGACAAGCAAAUUGCUAAACAACUCGAUAACUUCCAAGCUGGACAACUUCCCUAUCUCUCUAGGUAUGAUUCCUGACAAGCGGUUUUUAGUAAUAUGCAAACCUUGCAGAGCUUGCAACUCUCCAAUGGAAGCAGAUUGUUAAUAUCGACACCGAAAGACUGCAAUGAGGUGCAGUUACAAAUACUUUCAGGAAUGCUUCCAUUUAAGGUAUUACUACCAAAAUCUAAAUACUGCAGAUUUUGAAGGUUUCCUAAUUCGGACGGAAUCAGACCUGAAAGAGAAUUUUGAUAAAGAGAAAUACUAAUUAGCUGGGAGCAAUGUCCCAGCUGAGGUGGAAUUUUCCCAGUAAAUAAAUUUGAAGUUAAAUCAAGAACCUGGAGAGCAGAGAGAUUUCCAAGAAACGGAGAUAUCUGGCCUCGUAGCUGCUUCUCAGCCACAGUUAUCGAAAUGACUUGAUUCGACGAAGGAUCACAGACAACACCUGACCAGUUGCAGUGAUGAAUUGGUUCAGUCCAAUUAGCAAGUGCUCCGAAAGGGUCAUCCGUGAUGAAAUUCUUGAAGGACUUCAACGCGGCAACCUCAGCUUCUAUGGUUGAUUCUGCAGAUAUAACAAAAGAGUGGAAAAAUAUCAGGAUCAAGCUGACCCUACAAAUGAGGAAAGGAAUGAAAAUAUGGGAAAGUUUUGGAUUUUGGUUAGAGGAAAAUUUGAUACUAUGAACCUUGGCUAAAUACCGAAAUUUGACUCAAUGAGCUCAUUGUACUAUGAUGGCCACUAUCUACUACUUGCAGCCUAACAGGUACCGCUCGAUGUCCUUAACCACGGGAUAGGACCCGUUAACGCGACAAAAUUCUCUCCUAAAGUUUUUGAAGCUGUUUAUGUCAAGAGGUCAAACCCGAAAUCUCUAGUUAAGGGAAGAAGUUCUUACUACUCCAUUCCAACUCCGCUUGUAAUAUUAUAUAUUAUAUGAAAUUAAAUUUAUAAAGAUUGAGAUCAAAUAGUAGGAUAAUGUAUAUUUCAAUAGGCAAGUUGGUUAUGCAGGUCAGAAAUGAUGAGUUGGCUUAUGAGUUGUGAUUGGUGCAAAACGGAGCAAAAACAAAAGAGUGUGGGAAUGGGACUUGCAGUCAUGGAUAGUAUAGUGAUUGUCCCACUAGUUUUAGGGGUCCAUAUUCUUCUAUGAAAUUAAUUAUUGUGGAUGGCAUUCUAUGGGAUCUUUAAUUGUAACUAGGUUCCGACUUUUUUUUUCAGAAUAAUCCAAUUAAAACCAUCUAGUUUCUUUUA